CAGCAGCCACGGUAAUACAGAGGGUGCAAGCGUUAAUCGGAAUUACUGGGCGUAAAGCGCGCGUAGGUGGUUUGUUAAGUUGGAUGUGAAAGCCCCGGGCUCAACCUGGGAACUGCAUCCAAAACUGGCAAGCUAGAGUACGGUAGAGGGUGGUGGAAUUUCCUGUGUAGCGGUGAAAUGCGUAGAUAUAGGAAGGAACACCAGUGGCGAAGGCGACCACCUGGACUGAUACUGACACUGAGGUGCGAAAGCGUGGGGAGCAAACAGGAUUAGAUACCCCUGUAGUCCCUGUCUCUUAUAC
rnacentral:rRNA from 1 species